rnacentral:piRNA from 1 species
UGAGCUGCUCUCAUGGGAUGUG